UAUCUUUCCAUCUGCACUAAUCUUUCUCUUGUAGAUUUAUUUAUAUUGACUAGGUACAAUACCUUCAGAUAGGUCCACUAAGGUCCAGACUUGGUUUGAGUGCAUCAAGUCAAUUUCUAACUUCAUUGUCUCUAAUCAUUUCUUGAAGUCGAUAUUUGAUAUCACCUCAUCAUAGAUUUUGGGAUCAUCUUCAUGUGCCCCAUUUCUUGUGAGGAAUAU
rnacentral:lncRNA from 1 species